UACAGAGGUCCCAAGCGUUGUUCGGAUUCACUGGGCGUAAAGGGUGCGUAGGCGGUCGGGUAAGUCUGAUGUGAAAUCUCACAGCUUAACUGUGAAACUGCAUUGGAUACUAUCCGGCUCGAGGAAUGGAGGGGAGACUGGAAUACUUGGUGUAGCAGUGAAAUGCGUAGAUAUCAAGUGGAACACCCGUGGCGAAGGCGGCUCUCUGGGACGGUACUGACGCUGAGACGCGAAAGCGUGGGGAUCAAACAGG
rnacentral:rRNA from 1 species